UCCAAUCCAAAUCCAAUCUUUCCAAAGUAGAGAAACUGAAUUCACAAUCUCAGAACCAGUUGGCCCAAGGAUUUCCCAUAGAAGGAGACCAACUACAUUCUUUAUCUAAGAAGGAUCCUGCCUUACUCAAUAAUGUGACAAGAACCGAGACGGAGUCAAAGUUGGAUACUGCUAAAGAUCCUGCUUAUUGGUCAAAGGUUUGCUUGUAUAAUAUGGCCAAAUUGGCAAAGGAAGCUUCAACUGUGCGGCGUGUCCUUGAACCACUUUUUAUAAUUUUGAUAUUGAUAACCACUGGUCUUCUGAAAAGGGAGUUUCUUCUUGUGUUUUGAUUUAUUUGCAAUCCCUUCUAGCAGAAUCAGGAGAUAACUCCCAUCUUCUACUAUCCAUUUUGGUCAAGCACUUGGAUCACAAGAAUGUUGCCAAGCAGCCUAUCCGUCAGAUUGAUAUUAUUAACACCACCACGCAGCUUGCACAAAAUGUGAAGCAGCAUACUUCAGUUGCAAUCGUUGGUGCAAUAUCUGACCUCAUUAAGCAUUUAAGGAGAUGCCUCCAAAAUUUAACUGAAGCAUCCAGCAUUGGAAAUGAUGCAGAUAGGUUGAAUUCUGAACUUCAGUCUGCCUUAGAAAUGUGUAUAUUACAACUUUAAAGCAAGAUGUUAGCUAGUGUUUAUAAUAAUACUCAGGAAACCAAUACACAACCAUAGAGCAUAACUACCAAAACAGAGGAAGGCAAUGCAGACAAAAUGCUUAAGUUCUGGAAACCAAUAUAAAACCGCAGUCCGUGGCUACUGUAAAGGAAGAUGAAGCUGACAAAAUGCAGAAGGUACUUUUGCUUCAAUUUUGAUUAUAAA